AUUGAACGCUGGCGGCAGGCCUAACACAUGCAAGUCGAGCGAGCGGCGGACGGGUGAGUAAUGUCUGGGAAACUGCCUGAUGGAGGGGGAGAACUACUGGAAAAGGUCGCGAAAACAGCAUACAAUCAGAUAUGCACAGAUGGGCUUAGAUGGUAGGUGGGGUAACGGCGCACCUAGGCGACGAUUCCUCGCUGGUCUGUGAGGAUGACCAGCCACACUGGAACUGAGACACGGGCCAGACGCCUACGGGAGGCAGCAGUGGGGAAUAUUGCACAAUGGGCGCAAGCCUGAUGCAGCCAUGCCGCGUGUGUGAAGAAGGCCGUCGGGUUGUAAAGCACUUUCAGCGGGGAGGCGUUACCCGCAGAAGAAGCACCGGCGAACUCCGUGCCAGCCGCCGCGGUAAUUC
rnacentral:rRNA from 1 species